rnacentral:rRNA from 1 species
UAAGGAAUAUUGGUCAAUGGACGAAAGUCUGAACCAGCCAUGCCGCGUGGAGGAUGAAGGUCCUCUGGAUUGUAAACUUCUUUUAUAGGGGACGAAAAAAGGAAAUUCUUUUCCGUCUGACGGUACCCUAUGAAUAAGCACCGGCUAACUCCGUGCCAGCAGCCGCGGUAAUACGGAGGGUGCAAGCGUUAUCCGGAUUCACUGGGUUUAAAGGGUGCGUAGGCGGGCAGGUAAGUCAGUGGUGAAAUCUUCGAGCUUAACUCGGAAACUGCCUUUGAUACUAUCUGUCUUGAAUAUUGUGGAGGUAAGCGGAAUAUGUCAUGUAGCGGUGAAAUGCUUAGAGAUGACAUAGAACACCCAUUGCGAAGGCAGCUUACUACGCAUAUAUUGACGCUGAGGCACGAAAGCGUGGGGAUCAAACAG